GUUACCUUUAAUUCAGUCCCGUGAGGCUGCCAAGGUGAAACAGAUAGAAAUCUGUUGAUAAAAGAAAUAAGCUUGUUUUUCUUUUAUAAAGCACCCUGCAUGCACAAACACGGCAGGGUGCUUUUCUU
rfam:Virgibacillus chiguensis strain CGMCC 1.6496 genome assembly, contig: Ga0104465_102